rnacentral:rRNA from 1 species
GAUGAACGCUGGCGGCGUGCCUAAUACAUGCAAGUCGAACGCACAGCGAAAGGUGCUUGCACCUUUCAAGUGAGUGGCGAACGGGUGAGUACCACGUGGACAACCUGCCUCAAGGCUGGGGAUAACAUUUGGAAACAGAUGCUAAUACCGAAUAAAACUUAGUGUCGCAUGACAAAAAGUUAAAAGGCGCUUCGGCGUCACCUAGAGAUGGAUCCGCGGUGCAUUAGUUAGUUGGUGGGGUAAAGGCCUACCAAGACAAUGAUGCAUAGCCGAGUUGAGAGACUGAUCGGCCACAUUGGGACUGAGACACGGCCCAAACUCCUACGGGAGGCUGCAGUAGGGAAUCUUCCACAAUGGGCGAAAGCCUGAUGGAGCAACGCCGCGUGUGUGAUGAAGGCUUUCGGGUCGUAAAGCACUGUUGUAUGGGAAGAACAGCUAGAAUAGGAAAUGAUUUUAGUUUGACGGUACCAUACCAGAAAGGGACGGCUAAAUACGUGCCAGCAGCCGCGGUGAUACGUAUGUCCCGAGCGUUAUCCGGAUUUAUUGGGCGUAAAGCGAGCGCAGACGGUUUAUUAAGUCUGAUGUGAAAGCCCGGAGCUCAACUCCGGAAUGGCAUUGGAAACUGGUUAACUUGAGUGCAGUAGAGGUAAGUGGAACUCCAUGUGUAGCGGUGGAGUGCGUAGAUAUAUGGAAGAACACCAGUGGCGAAGGCGGCUUACUGGACUGCAACUGACGUUGAGGCUCGAAAGUGUGGGUAGCAAACAGGAUUAGAUACCCUGGUAGUCCACACCGUAAACGAUGAACACUAGGUGUUAGGAGGUUUCCGCCUCUUAGUGCCGAAGCUAGCGCAUUAAGUGUUCCGCCUGGGGAGUACGACCGCAAGGUUGAAACUCAAAGGAAUUGACGGGGACCCGCACAAGCGGUGGAGCAUGUGGUUUAAUUCGAAGCAACGCGAAGAACCUUACCAGGUCUUGACAUCCUUUGAAGCUUUUAGAGAUAGAAGUGUUCUCUUCGGAGACAAAGUGACAGGUGGUGCAUGGUCGUCGUCAGCUCGUGUCGUGAGAUGUUGGGUUAAGUCCCGCAACGAGCGCAACCCUUAUUGUUAGUUGCCAGCAUUCAGGUGGGCACUCUAGCGAGACUGCCGGUGACAAACCGGAGGAAGGCGGGGACGACGUCAGAUCAUCAUGCCCCUUAUGACCUGGGCUACACACGUGCUACAAUGGCGUAUACAACGAGUUGCCAACCCGCGAGGGUGAGCUAAUCUCUUAAAGUACGUCUCAGUUCGGAUUGUAGUCUGCAACUCGACUACAUGAAGUCGGAAUCGCUAGUAAUCGCGGAUCAGCACGCCGCGGUGAAUACGUUCCCGGGUCU